CCCGAGGGAACAUACGUAACCUUCCGUUUCCAUGUGUGGAAUUUUUUUUACAGGUCUUUGGAGACAAAGACAGCUGGCAAGAAAGAACCAAGAGAGAGUGGGGGCACUUUAAAGGGGGAACAAGAAAGAACUAUACCAAGGAGGAGAUCAGCAUCCGUGCCCCGCCUCAGACCACAGACAGAUUCCAGUACAGAUUCGGAGCAUACCCAGUCUGAAGACAUGACACCGAAGCACAUCCGAGCAUCGCUUUUGAUGUCACACACGACCCGGAGAGCGAGGGCUGAAACUAGACGAAGCCCAAAGACCCACACAAAUGGCCAGAAGCGUAGCAUAUCUGCUGAGAGAUCGGAUGCGAGAAAUGAUGAGGCCGAAAGCAGAGGAAGGCCAGUACCUUUGUGCUUGAGCUGCUUGGCACGACGCAACAGAACCUCUGGAUGUCAAGCAAGAAACGUUAGCUCACCUAGUCACACUCGUUACUACUCUAAUCACUGUCCACUGUGUGGAGCAACAAACAGAGAGACAGUCCUUAGACCUGCAAAACAAAGCUCCAUGCAGAAGGAAACUCGGCCAGUGAGGUCCACACACAUGCAGACGGGGGGUAUGUACCUGGCAGUAGGACCUCCCCCUCCAGUGAUUGGCAGCGUGCCUGUGCUCCAGUGUGUGCCGGUCUGUCCUUCAGUCCUCUACUACUCCAGCCCUGUGGUGUCAGCCUCCUACCAAAAGCCUCUUUACUUUUCACUGAGUGACGGGAAAGGCUACAGGGGUCACCGUAGGCGCUCUCAAUCUGUAGACGCACAGCGCUCUCUCAAC
ensembl:lncRNA